rnacentral:lncRNA from 1 species
CCAUCGACUCCUUCGUAUCCAAAAGCUUCUCCAUGAUAUAGCUUCCAUACCUCUCGAACGAAAGCUCAACGCAAUGGCCACGGAGGUUAACCGCAAUGUUACGCGUGCAUUGCAAGUCAUUUAGGUCAAGCACGUGUUGUACCACGAAGUUCCCGUAAGCAUGGUAGCUGAAGGGGAGGCUUGAGCUUAUUCACCAAGCCCCAGAACAGAUCACCACAAGUCACAAUCUCCGCCUGCGUGACCCUCAGUGCCUUGUACACCACGAAGUUCCCAUACGUACCCCUCGCCAGUCUCACCAACCUAUCUCCUUCACACUUCAAAAGCUCUUCCACCACCACAACCAUCGACUCCUUCGUAUCCAAAAGCUUCUCCAUGAUAUAGCUUCCAUACCUCUCGAACGAAAGCUCAACGCAAUGGCCACGGAGGUUAACCGCAAUGUUACGCGUGCAUUGCAAGUCAUUUAGGUCAAGCACGUGUUGUACCACGAAGUUCCCGUAAGCAUGGUAGCUGAAGGGGAGGGCGUUCACCACGACCGCGUACAAGAAAAAGGUUCUGCAGUAAGG